UACGUAGGGCGCAAGCGUUAUCCGGAAUUACUGGGCGUAAAGCGUGCGCAGGCGGUAAGUUAAGUCUGAUGUGAAAGCCCCGGGCUCAACCUGGGAACGGCAUUGGAAACUGGCUUGCUGGAGUGUGGCAGAGGGGGGUGGAAUUCCGCGUGUAGCAGUGAAAUGCGUAGAGAUGCGGAGGAACACCGAUGGCGAAGGCAGCCCCCUGGGCCAACACUGACGCUCAGGCACGAAAGCGUGGGGAGCAAACAGG
rnacentral:rRNA from 1 species